GUAUUUGGAACUUUUUAAUUAUUUUUUUUCAAAACCCAUAUUUCUGUUUUCUUUCAAAACGGCAUAUACUUGGCUUUGGCCGUGAGGUGCUGGAUAAUAUUUUCCGGCUCGUCCGAUAUUUCCACACCGGAAAAUAGGAGAAAAGAGCAAGAAAAUACACACUCACAAACGGCAAAAAGCAUCCUUUAAUGGUGGAAAAUGAAUUCCCAACCAUUAACGAGAAGUGAUAUACUUCAACUACCAAACCGCUUGUUACACCCCUCUAAAACCCCUCCUCAUUCCUUUCCGGCCUUUUAUCGAACACGUCGUAAACGUUAUUUGGGAGCUAAGUUUCAGGCCUAUGGUGACGAUGCUAAGUUUCUCAACCCAGCGAAGCUCAGAAUUCGCGCCUGCAAAGCUUCUGGUUCGAGUUCGAACUCGGCUAUAGUGCCCACGAACGCCGAGGAAGACGUUGAGUCUGCUCAGCUAUUCGAGAAAUUAAAGGAUCUUGAGAGACAACGGAUUGAUAAAUUGGAAGAACUUGACCGUAAGGCAAAUGUGCAGUUGGAAAGGCAGCUUGUGAUGGCUUCUUAUUGGAGUAGAGUUUUGUUGACUAUGCGUGGAAAGUUGAAAGGAACUGAGUGGGAUCCUGAAAUCUCACAUAGGAUUGACUUUAGUGAUUUUUGGAGGCUUCUUAACUCAAAUAACGUUCAAUUUAUGGAGUAUUCAAAUUAUGGUCAAACAGUAUCAGUGAUUUUACCUUAUUACAAAGAUGAGAAAACAGGAGGAUCUGAGGGAACUUUGAAUAAGGAAAUUGUUUUUAGGCGUCAUGUAGUUGACCGCAUGCCAAUUGAUUGCUGGAAUGAAGUUUGGCAGAAGUUGCACCAGCAAAUAGUAAAUGUUGAUGUCUAUAAUGUGGACACAGUACCUGCAGAAGUAUACACAACUGUUGCAACUGCAGUCAUUUGGUCUAUGCGGCUUGCCCUUUCUAUUGGUUUAUAUAUUUGGAUUGAUAACUUGACAAGACCAAUAUAUGCCAAGUUGAUUCCUACUGAUCUAGGAAAACCUGGCAAAAAAAUUAGGCAGCCCCUCAAGCGCCGUGCACUUGGAUCUUUAGGAAAAAGUCGGGCAAAAUUUAUAUCAGCAGAAGAAUCUACUGGUAUCACCUUUGAUGAUUUUGCUGGUCAGGAAUAUAUAAAGAGGGAACUGCAGGAAAUUGUAAGAAUUUUAAAGGAUGAUGAAGAAUUUCAAGACAAAGGCAUUUAUUGCCCAAAAGGUGUACUUCUCCAUGGACCUCCUGGAACUGGUAAAACGCUGCUAGCGAAAGCUAUUGCUGGUGAAGCAGGACUUCCUUUCUUUGCGGCAAAUGGCACUGAUUUUGUAGAGAUGUUUGUAGGUGUGGCAGCUUCUCGUGUCAAGGAUCUAUUUGCUAGUGCUAGAUCAUAUGCACCAUCAAUUAUAUUUAUUGAUGAGAUUGAUGCCAUUGGUAGUAAACGUGGUGGGCCUGAUAUUGGUGGGGGUGGUGCAGAAAGGGAACAAGGGCUCCUUCAGAUAUUGACAGAGAUGGAUGGAUUUAAAGUUUCUACCUCACAGGUACUGGUAAUAGGUGCCACAAAUAGACUGGAUAUUCUUGAUCCUGCUCUACUGCGAAAGGGUCGUUUUGACAAGAUCAUAAGAGUUGGUUUGCCAUCUAAGGAUGGUAGAUUGGCUAUUUUGAAGGUGCAUGCUAGAAAUAAAUAUUUCCGUUCUGAGGAGGAGAAGGACGUUCUCCUUCUGGAAAUAGCAGAGCUUACUGAAGAUUUUACUGGGGCAGAACUGCAGAACAUACUGAAUGAAGCUGGAAUUUUGACUGCCAGGAAGGAUUUAGAUUUCAUUGGUCGAGAAGAGCUGCUAGAAGCUUUGAAAAGGCAAAAAGGCACAUUUGAAACAGGGCAGGAAGAUAAUACUGAAAUCCCAGAGGAUCUAAAAUUAAGGUUGGCAUACAGAGAAGCAGCUGUUGCUGUCCUUGCCUGCUACUUUCCAAAUCCUUACCGUCCAUUUACACAGACGGAUAUAAAAUCAAUUCGUAGUCAGCCAAAUAUGUGUUAUAAUGACAUUCCGGGCAAGGUCUUUGCAAGAAAAUCAGAUUAUGUGAACUCUAUAGUGCGUGCAUGUGCUCCAAGAGUUAUUGAGGAGGAGAUGUUUGGGGUUGACAAUCUGUGUUGGAUCUCAUCAAAGGCAACAUUAGAAGCUUCGAGGCUGGCAGAAUUUUUAAUCCUGCAGACUGGAAUGACAGCUUUUGGGAAAGCAUUCUACAGGAAUCAGAGUGAUCUUGUGCCCAAUCUUGCAGCUAAGCUUGAAGCACUUAGGGAUGAAUAUAUGCGUUAUGCUGUUGAUAAAUGUUCAUCUGUGUUGAGGGAGUACCAUCUAGCUGUGGAGACGAUCACAGACCUUUUACUUGAAAAGGGAGAAAUUAAAGCUGAGGAAAUUUGGGAUAUUUACCAAAGGGCUGCUCAAAUACCUCAGCCGGCUGUGAGUCCAGUGGAUGAAUAUGGAGCCCUAAUAUAUGCAGGGAGAUGGGGAAUACAUGGGAUUUCACUUCCUGGGAGGGUUACAUUUGCACCUGGCAAUGUUGGAUUUUCAACGUUUGGUGCAGCCAGACCCAUGGAGACCCAAAAGGUGAAUGAUGAAACCUGGAAGUUAAUAGAUGACAUUUGGGAUAAAAAAAUUGAAGACAUGAAAGCUGAAGCUUCAGCAGUGUUUGAAGAGGAAAAACAGAAACCUCAACUUCUAAUGGCCAGCCAUUUUCUAUAGAAGCAAAGGAUUACUGGAUCUUAUGGUAGAUAAUCCAAGGACACAUGCUAUGUUUAAUGAUUGAUCUAUGGGCAUGAGAGAUAGCCUCAUCAAUUCCGAGCAGUCUGUGACCAUAGGGUCCCGCACAAGCACAACCACCUCGAGCUUGGAUGCCGAAGAGGUCAUUGAGGAGGACUGCAACAAAAGCUCCAUGAAGAGGCUUAUCUCUAUUGUUGCCAAUCUCUCCCCACAUGAAAAGCCCUCCUUC